UACGUAGGGUGCGAGCGUUAAUCGGAAUUACUGGGCGUAAAGCGUGCGCAGGCGGUUCGUUAUGUCCGUUGUGAAAGCCCCGGGCUCAACCUGGGAAUGGCAAUGGAAACUGGCGGACUCGAGUGUGGCAGAGGGGGGUGGAAUUCCGCGUGUAGCAGUGAAAUGCGUAGAGAUGCGGAGGAACACCGAUGGCGAAGGCAGCCCCCUGGGCUAACACUGACGCUCAGGCACGAAAGCGUGGGGAGCAAACAGG
rnacentral:rRNA from 1 species